rnacentral:rRNA from 1 species
CAUGCAAGUCGAGCGGAAACGAGUUAUCUGAACCUUCGAGGGAACGAUACGAGCGUCCAGAGCGGCGGACGGGUGAGUAAUGCCUAGGAAGAUGUGCCCUGAUGUGGGGGAUAACCAUUGGAAACGAUGGCUAAUCACCGCAUAAUGCACUACGGGCCAAAGAGGGGGACCUUCGGGCCUCUCGCGUCAGGAUAUGCCAUAGGUGGGAUGUAGCUAGUUGAGUGAGGUAAUGGCUCACCAAGGCGGACGAUCCCUAGCUGGUCUGAGAGGAUGAUCAGCCACCACUGGUAACUGAGACACGGUCCAGACUCCUACGGGAGGCAGCAGUGGGGAAUAUUGCACAAUGGGCGCAAGCCUGUAUGCUUAGCCAUGCCGCGUGUGUGAAGAAGGCCUUCGGGUAUGUAAGUAGCACUUUCAGUCGUACAGGGGAAACCGGAAAAUAAAAGCUGCAUUAUUUGACGUUAGCGACAGAAGAAGCACCGGCUAACUCCGUGCCAGCAGCCGCGGUAAUACGGAGGGUGCGAGCGUUAAUCGGAAUUACUGGGCGUAAAGCGCAUGCAGGUGGUUUGUUAAGUCAGAUGUGAAAGCCCGGGGCUCAACCUCGGAAUUGCAUUUGAAACUGGCAGACUAGAGUACUGUAGAGGGGGGUAGAAUUUCAGGUGUAGCGGUGAAAUGCGUAGAGAUCUGAAGGAAUACCGGUGGCGAAGGCGGCCCCCUGGACAGAUACUGACACUCAGAUGCGAAAAGCGUGGGGGAGCAAACAGGGAUUAGAUACCCCUGGUAGUCCACGCCGUAAACGAUGUCUACUUGGGAGGUUGUGGCCUUGAGCCGUGGCUUUCGGAGCUAACGCGUUAAGUAGACCGCCCUGGGGGAAGUACGGGUCGCAAGAUUAAAACUCAAAUGAAUUUGACGGGGGGCCCGCACAAGCG